rnacentral:rRNA from 1 species
UUUGGUGAAGUUAGUAAGGGCAAAUGGUGGAUGCCUAGGCACUGUAAGGCGAUGAAGGACGUGGCUACCUGCGAUAAGCCCCGGAUAGAUGGUAACAAUCUCAGACCCGGGGAUUUCCGAAUCGGGCAACCGGACCGGAGUAAUGUCCGGUCAUAUCUUAGCAAAAUUCAUAUGCUUUGAUAUGCUAACGAAGGGAACUGAAACAUCUAAGUACCUUCAGGAAAAGAAAACAAAAGUGAUUUCCUCAGUAGCGGCGAGCGAAAUGGAAACAGCCUAAACCAUGUAAUGUGUCAAGACUGCAAUCUUUGCAUUACAGGUGUUGUGGGGCUUCUUGGUAAAAUUGCAGUAUACCGGGGAGUUAUAAAUCUUAAAGUUAGUCGAAUAGUAUGGAACGGCUAACCAUAGACGGUGAAAGUCCUGUAGACGAAAACUUUAAGACUCCCGGAAGUACCCCGAGUACCACGGAACACGUGAGAUUUUGUGGGAAUCUGCCAGAACCAUCUGGUAAGGCUAAAUACUCUUCAGUGACCGAUAGUGAAUAAGUACCGUGAGGGAAAGGUGAAAAGAACUCCUAUUAGGAGAGUGAAAUAGUACCUGAAACCAUUUGCUUACAAACGGUAGUAGCCCUUGUUGCGGGAUUUAUCCUGCGAUUCGGGUGGCUGCGUGCCUUUUGUUUAAUGAGCCAACGAGUUACUCGUAUGUUGCUGGUUAAGCUUCUUUGAAGCGGAACCACAGCGAAAGCAAGUCCGAAACGGGCGAUUUAUAGUAACAUGCGGUAGACGCGAAACCGUGUGAUCUACCCUUGGCCAGGAUGAAGUCCCGGUAAUACGGGAUGGAGGUCCGAACUAUUGUGGGUUGAAAACCGCUUGGAUGAGCUGAGGGUAGGAGCGAAAGACCAAUCAAACACGGAGAUAGCUCGUACUCCCCGAAAUAGCUUUAGGGCUAGCCUCGGGAUAUAGUGUACAGGAGGUAGAGCACUAAAUGGGCUAGGGCCGUCACAACGGUACCAAACCCAAAUAAACUCCGAAUUCCUGUUAUAUCUUUCCCGGGAGUCAGGCAGUGGGGGAUAAGCUUCAUUGCCGAGAGGGGAAUAACCCAGACCACCAAUUAAGGUCCCCAAGUUUAUGUUAACAGACUAAGGAUGUUAGGUUGCUAUGACAACUAGGAUGUUGGCUUAGAAGCAGCCACUCAUUUAAAGAGUGCGUAAUAGCUCACUAGUCAAGCGACUUAGCGCCGAUAAUACUCGGGACUUAAACAUAACACCGAAAUUGUGGUAUCCGUAAGGAUAGGUAGGGGAGCAUUCUAUCAGCGACGUGAAAACACCGAUCAGGCUUCGGCUUGAGGAAGGUGCCCGGCGACGGGUGCUGGAGUUGAUAGAAACGAAAAUGUUGGCAUUAGUAACGAUAAUUCUGGUGAAAAACCAGAACACCGAAAGUCUAAGGUUUCCUGAGCAAUGUUAAUCAUCUCAGGGUUAGUCGGUCCCUAAGCUGAGGCCAAACGGCGUAGGUAAUGGGAAACAGGUGAAUAUUCCUGUACUAUCGAUAUUUAAAUCCGGGGGACGCAGGAGUGAAAGGAGAGCCGUCUGAUGGCUUAGACGGUCUAAUGGCGUACCCGUGAGUAAUCACGGCGAAACCAGAACGGGAUGGCGCAAGCCUGCAAACUCUCCCUAAUCAUACUGCCAAGAAAAGCCCGGAUGUAUAAUAAGAUAACCGUACCGCAAACCGACACAGGUAGACAGGGUGAGUAUCCUAAGGUGCUCGAGUGAGCCGUGGUCAAGGAACUCGGCAAAUUGACCCCGUAACUUCGGGAUAAGGGGUGGUCGCCUAGUGCGACCCGCAGAGAAAUGGGCCAAGCGACUGUUUAGCAAAAACACAUGUCUAUGCCAAGCCUUUAAGGCGAUGUAUAUGGACUGACACCUGCCCGGUGCUGGAAGGUUAAGAGGAGAGGUUAGCCUUGAGAAAUCCUGGCAAAGCUUUGAAUCGAAGCCCCAGUAAACGGCGGCCGUAACUAUAACGGUCCUAAGGUAGCGAAAUUCCUUGUCGGGUAAGUUCCGACCUGCACGAAUGGUGUAACGAUUUGGUCACUGUCUCGACCACGGGCUCGGUGAACUUGUGGUACCGGUGAAGACGCCGGUUACCUGCAUAUGGACGAAAAGACCCCGUGCACCUUUACUGCACCUUAGCAUUGGGUUUGGAUAAAGCAUGUGUAGAAUAGGUGGGAGACUGUGAAGCGGCGGCGCCAGCCGUCGUGGAGUCGCAAUGUGAAAUACCACCCUUGUUUUGUUCGGAUUCUAACCCGGGUCCUUUAUCAGGAUCGGGAACAGUGUUAGGCGGGUAGUUUGACUGGGGCGGUCGCCUCCUAAAAUGUAACGGAGGCUUCCAAAGGUACCCUCAGCAUGGUUGGUAAUCAUGCACAGAGCGCAAAGGUAGAAGGGUGCUUAACUGUGAGACUGACAAGUCGAACAGAUGCGAAAGCAGGGCUUAGUGAUCCGACGGUUCUGUGUGGAAAGGCCGUCGCUCAAAGGAUAAAAGGUACGCCGGGGAUAACAGGCUGAUCUCCUCCAAGAGUUCACAUCGACGAGGAGGUUUGGCACCUCGAUGUCGGCUCAUCGCAUCCUGGGGCUGGAGAAGGUCCCAAGGGUUUGGCUGUUCGCCAAUUAAAGCGGUACGUGAGCUGGGUUCAGAACGUCGUGAGACAGUUCGGUCUCUAUCCUAUGCAGGCGAAGGAAACUUGAGAAGGCUCGCUCCUAGUACGAGAGGACCAGAGCGAACGAAUCUAUGGUGUACCAGUUGUCACGCCAGUGGCACCGCUGGGUAGCUAUAUUCGGUUGAGAUAAGCGCUGAAAGCAUCUAAGCGCGAAACUCGCUUCAAGAUGAGGUUUCCCUUUCUCUUCGGAGAAAAUAAGACUCCAGAAAGAUUAUCUGGUUGAUAGGCUGCAGGUAUAAGUUCGGUGACGGAUUUAGCCGAGCAGUACUAAUUAGUCGAAUGCCUUCACCAUUAUUUUUUA